AGCCUUCCCCUUUCUCAGGUAGUCAUUGCUGCGGUUAUUAACCACAACACCUUCCUCCCCGCUGAAGUACUUUACAACCCGAAGGCCUUCUUCAUACACGCGGCAUGGCUGCAUCAGGCUUGCGCCCAUUGUGCAAUAUUCCCCACUGCUGCCUCCCGUAGGGGGGCGGGGGCGGCGGGCCGGGCGCGGGGCGCGGCGGGCG
rnacentral:rRNA from 1 species